rnacentral:rRNA from 1 species
GAUGAACGCUAGCGGCAGGCUUAACACAUGCAAGUCGAGGGGUAACAGGAGGAAGCUUGCUUCUUCGCUGACGACCGGCGCACGGGUGCGUAACACGUAUGCAACUUACCUCUAACAGGGGGAUAGCCCAGAGAAAUCUGGAUUAAUACCCCAUAACAUUGCGGAAUCUCAUGUUUCUGCAAUUAAAGCUCCGGCGGUUAGAGAUAGGCAUGCGGCCCAUUAGUUUGUUGGUAAGGUAACGGCUUACCAAGACUACGAUGGGUAGGGGUUCUGAGAGGAUGACCCCCCACACUGGUACUGAGACACGGACCAG